rnacentral:rRNA from 1 species
CAAAGGAGAGAUCCGGUACCGGCUGGGCAUGCGGCGCAUUAGCUAGUUGGCGGGGCAACGGCCCACCAAGGCGACGAUGCGUAGGGGUUCUGAGAGGAAGGUCCCCCACACUGGAACUGAGACACGGUCCAGACUCCUACGGGAGGCAGCAGUGAGGAAUAUUGGUCAAUGGGCGCAAGCCUGAACCAGCCAAGUCGCGUGAGGGAAGACGGCCCUACGGGUUGUAAACCUCUUUUGCCGGGGAGCAAGCCUGAGUACGCGUGCCCAGGCGGAGAGUACCCGGAGAAAAAGCAUCGGCUAACUCCGUGCCAGCAGCCGCGGUAAUACGGAGGAUGCGAGCGUUAUCCGGAUUUAUUGGGUUUAAAGGGUGCGCAGGCGGGCUGUUAAGCCGGCGGUAAAAAUUCAGGGCUCAACCCUGUCGAGCCGUCGGAACUGGCAGUCUUGAGUGGGCGAGAAGUAUGCGGAAUGCGUGGUGUAGCGGUGAAAUGCAUAGAUAUCACGCAGAACGCCGAUUGCGAAGGCAGCAUACCGGCGCCCAACUGACGCUGAGGCACGAAAGCGUGGGGAUCGAACAGGAUUAGAUACCCUGGUAGUCCACGCAGUAAACGAUGAGCGCUAACUGUCCGGAGCGAGCGAGCUCUGG